GGCGAGCNNNCGGGAAGAGCUCAAAUUUAUAAUCUGGCACCUUCGGUGUCCGAGUUGUAAUCUCUAGAAGUGUUUUCCGCGUUGGACCGCACACAAGUCUGUUGGAAUACAGCGGCAUAGUGGUGAAACCCCCGUAUAUGGUGCGGACGCCCAGCGCUUUGUGAUACACUUUCAAUGAGUCGAGUUGUUUGGGAAUGCAGCUCAAAUUGGGUGGUAAAUUCCAUCUAAAGCUAAAUAUUGGCGAGAGACCGAUAGCGAACAAGUACCGUGAGGGAAAGAUGAAAAGCACUUUGGAAAGAGAGUUAACAGUACGUGAAAUUGUUGGAAGGGAAACGCUUGAAGUCAGACUUGCUUGCCGGAGCUUGCUUCGGUUUGCAGGCCAGCAUCAGUUUUCCGGGGUGGAUAAUGACGGUUUGAAGGUAGCAGUCUCGGCUGUGUUAUAGCUUUCCGUUGGAUACAUCCUGGGGGACUGAGGAACGCAGCGUGCUUUUUGCGAAAGACUCGUCUUUUUCACGCUUAGGAUGCUGGUGGAAUGGCUUUAAACGACCCGUCUUGAAACACG
rnacentral:rRNA from 1 species